rnacentral:tRNA from 1 species
AAUUCCCUGACUUAAUAGGUUAAAGUGCAUUUUUGAUAAAAAUGAUAUCAGCGUUCAAAUCGCUGGGGAAUUA